rnacentral:rRNA from 1 species
GACGAACGCUGGCGGCGUGCUUAACACAUGCAAGUCGAACGGAAAGGCCCUGCUUUUGUGGGGUGCUCGAGUGGCGAACGGGUGAGUAACACGUGAGUAACCUGCCCUUGACUUUUGGAUAACUUCAGGUAACUGUGGCUAAUACCGGAUAGGAGCUCCUGCUGCAUGGUGGUGGUUGGAACGUUUCGGCGGUUGGGGAUGGACUCGCGGCUUAUCAGCUUGUUGGUGGGGUAGUGGCUUACCAAGGCUUUGACGGGUAGCCGGCCUGAGAGGGUGACCGGCCGCAUUGGGACUGAGAUACGGCCCAGACUCCUACGGGAGGCAGCAGUGGGGAAUAUUGCAAAAUGGGCGGAAGCCUGAUGCAGCAACGCCGCGUGCGGGAUGACGGCCUUCGGGUUGUAAACCGCUUUCGCCUGUGACGAAGCGUGAGUGACGGUAAUGGGUAAAGAAGCACCGGCUAACUACGUG